rnacentral:lncRNA from 1 species
CCGGCGAGCGGGAGACAGGAGCGGAAACCACAGAGGUAGAGUCAGGGCCGACACUGAAGAAACGUAGAUGCACAGGGAGGGGCCGAUAUUAGUGUACAGAGAGAAAGAGGGAACACGGUGCGGUGACACCUAGCCUCGGAGACAGCGGGAGCUCCGAGCCCACGGAGAGCGGGGGAGUUCCGCUUCCUCCCGCCCCAGCGGCUCCCGCCCCGCCUGGGCGCAGCCGGCCGUCCCGGCUCCGAGGGUGCAGCGCGCCCGGGCGCAGCGCGAGUGCGUGGAGCCGGGCUGCAGCACGACCCCGCCGCUCGGGUUUGGGUGUCCUCAGGCUCCGCGCUCCUCCUCCCCUCCUCCAGAUGGGACUGGCUCUCCUCUUUGCAAAGCCAGGCUCGCGGGGAGACGUGGUGAGCAGUAGCCAGCAGCUGGUGUGCCGUGGACGCCGCUGACCGCCGCGCGCCCGGACCGGGUGUCCACAUGAGUGCCUCUCCCAGCAGAUCCAGCGCCAAGCCGGCUCCCCAACCUGGUCUGCUGAACGCAAACCGCUGAGAGUUUGCUGCACCGCCCCCUGGGGCCCCUGGCUGCCGAGUCCCGCUAAGGCAAAGACGCCAGCAAGCGAGGAAGCGCCGCGGAAGA